AGAAAACUCUCCUUAACACUCCUGCACACCACCAGGUACUCACACACGGGCUAUAAUAGUAACACAAAGCACAGCACACCUUUAACGUCACUCGAGUUGCCUUUAACCACCAGUACACACUAAUAUCGCAUGACACACUUAUAUCGGAUGAAUUUCACCCAGUUGAGCACUGCAGCCACACCCGUCCUGAUAACUUAUCGCCCAAUAUCCACAGGCAAUUCCACAAACUGUAAGAUUCACGUGUUAUCACUUAGCACAAUCUGGUAAUGCCGCAAGGGAACACCACCUGCCACUUUUUUUCUUCACCAGACGCUUCAAUGAACACUUUCGAAUGCACACACACACUUUAACUUCGGUUUUAUGAAGCAUUAGUGUAGUUUUCCAAUGCCCAGGUGCACUGUCACGCCGAUUAGUAUGUGGGAACUGACACUUUGUAAAACGUGGCUUAACCCUUCAGCAUGAAUUCCAGUGCUGGGAAACAAAGACCACUAACGUAUGCACAGCACUUUCCUCCUCUUUGUCAAGUUGCAUAAACCUUGGACACGCGUGGAUCAAUAUUCAACACAUGCUUUUUCACACACGAAGUUGCUGGCAAGGGUAAUGUUGCAGGCCUCGACACAAAGAAGUUCCCAUGAUAUAGAAUUCGAUUUCCAAAGGUCAAUAGAGAACAUAAUGGCUUGGACACACGUGGAUUAAUAUUCAACACAUGCUUUUUCACACACGAAGUUGCUGGCAAGGGUAAUGUUCCAGGCCUCGACACAAAGAAGUUCCCUUGAUAUAGAAUUCGAUUUCCAAAAGGUAUAUUAUCUAAGUACUCUUGCAAACGUAAUGGCUUGGACACACGUGGAUCAAUAUUCAACACAUGGUUUUUCACACACGAAGUUGCUGGCAGGAGUGAUGUGGGAAGUUCAGACACAAAAGAAGUUCCCUCAAUAUAGAAUUAAAUUUCCAAAGGUUAAUACCCUCUGUACACUCUUGCAAACGUGGAUCAAUAUUCGAUGCUUCGCUUUUUUCCACAGUGCUGACAAGCGUUUAAUGUUGGAGCUUAGACACAAAGAAGUUCCCUUGAUAAAAAGCAUUUCCAAAGGUCAGUACCAUCUAUGUAUCCUUGCAAACACAGGUACAGGUGAACGCGAGACCGUGAUGGCAGUAAUACAUCGUUUGACAAGGGUUUUAUGUUGAAGCUUAGACACAAAGAAGUUCCCUUAAUAAAAAGCAUUUCCAAAGGUCAGUAUCAUGUAUGUAUCCUUGCAAACACAGGUGAGGGUGUGACCGUGAUGCCAGUAAUACAUCGUUUGACAAGGGUUUUAUGUUGGAAGCUUCGACACAGACUUUCCCUUGAUAAAAAGCAUUUCCAAAGGUCAGUAUCAUGUAUGUAUCCUUGCAAACACAGGUGAGGGUGUGACCGUGAUGCCAGUAAUACAUCGUUUGACAAGGGGUUUAUGUUGGAAGCUUAGACACAAAGACUUUCCCUUGAUAAAAAGCAUUUCCAAAGGUCAGUAUCAUGUAUGUAUCCUUGCAAACACAGGUACAGGUGAGGCUGUGAAGGCAAUAAUACAUAGUUUCCUUGUCACCACCAGCAGCUUCACUGUAUUCUUGUUACAUGUUUCCACGGAUAAGUCUCCAUCAAUGUGGUUUUUUUUUAAUUUGUAUUGCCAGCAUCCAUGACACCAUCGUUUAUAUCUUGCCCACCACACACAAUACAGCGAUCAAUAAGUCGUUUUUUUAUUGAGAGCAUCCAGGAUACCAUCGUUGACAUGUUGCCCACCACACACACAACACACCGCUCGUCACUUCACCAAAGCACCAUCACUAGAAACACUGUAACAAGCACCUCUCACCGGGCCUUGCAUCAUCGGCUUUCCCUCACACACCACCACCACCAAAACCCAAGCCAGAAGUAAUCAAUAAGUCUUUUUAAUUGACAAUAUUCACAACGAGAGCUUCACCACGUUGAGAUAUUCCCCACCAAACACGUAACACACAGCUCACCACUUCACUGAACCACUAUCACAAGAAACACUCCAACACCCAACCAUCACCUUUACAUAACGAGGAAACACACACACAAGCCACCACCACCACCACCACCACACUCGUUUAAUUAACACCACCGUUAACCACACUGCACAGCCCACU